AGCUCAGGGGCAGAGCGCCUGCUUAGCAUGCACGAGGUCCUGGGUUCAAUCCCCAG
rnacentral:tRNA from 1 species